UAGGGAAUCUUCCACAAUGGACGAAAGUCUGAUGGAGCAACGCCGCGUGAGUGAAGAAGGGUUUCGGCUCGUAAAACUCUGUUGUUAAAGAAGAACAUAUCUGAGAGUAACUGUUCAGGUAUUGACGGUAUUUAACCAGAAAGCCACGGCUAACUACUUUCCAG
rnacentral:rRNA from 1 species